UGUAAUACCUACCUGUGUGUGAGUUGGCAUGAGAACAGACAAUACUGUAAUGACAUCUAGCCCAAGGUCACUCCUCAAUAAAUAUAAAAUAUUGUGAGUUUAUUCAGACUUUCUGGACAAUGCAAGAGGCACCCAAUGCCCUGAAUUUGAAUCCCAGCAUUGCUUAUUAUUAUGAAACCUAAAUCACUUUAAAUCUCCCUUUACUCAUCUAGAAUAUAAAGAUGAUAAUAUUAUUACCUACUAUUCAGGCUUUUUGUAACAAGUACAUAUUAAGAAAUGGGCUAGCACAGCCUGGAAAAUAGGAUAUGCUCAAUAAGCAAUUAAUUGAAUGAAUGACUUACAUUUCUAAAUUAAAUUAAUUCUAUUUUUUUUGACUCACAAAUUUCAGUUUCAGUUGAAGCUAAAAGUUAUUCAAAACAAGACAUGUAUUUUAUCAGCUCAUUCAAAAUCGAUGAAAGGUCAAUAAUAUAUUGAUUAUUUUCAAAUUAAAAAGUUAGCAUUUGAAGAUGAUGUCAAUUCUCAAGUUAAUAAACUCCUUCUGCAAUAUUUUUACAAACGUCUUUUUAUCAGUUGCCACACUUUUUCUGAAGUAAUCUAAAGGAGAAGUUGGUUAAAUAAGCAGAGAACAUUUUGUAUAAAAGAUCGAUACAAUUACAAGAAAAAAUAUUUUAAAUGAACAGAUGUAAUUACUUGUUUCUUAGUGAACUCUAUUUUUAUGUAUAAAAAAUGCAAGUUUUAACAUAUUACCUGAGGAAACAUAGUUUAGAAAUAAACUUAAACGCAAAUAAAUACUUUGUGGUAAAAAACACCUAAUGAAAUAUCUAAGUACUCAAUGAAUGCAAGGGUUAAAUAUUUAUUAAACACAGAUCCCAGUGAUACACAGCAGAGUGGGAGCAGUUAGAUUCCACCCUUUGACUAUUAAGGAGAGAGGCCCAGUUUCUUAUGCAUACCCCAAAUUUGCCCUUCAAUUAACUGCUGACUACUGCAUUUCUUUCUUUCUUUUCUUUUUAAUUAAUCUGGCUAGUGGUCUAUUUUGUUGAUCUUUUCAAAAAACCAGCUCUUGGAUUUAUGGAUUUUUUGAAGGGUUUUUCAUGUCUCAAUCUCUUUCAGUUCAGCUCUGAUAUUAGUUAUUUCUUGUCUUCUGCUUGGUUUUGAGUUUUUUUGAUCUUGCUCCUCUAGCUCUCUCAAUUUUGACGAUAGGGUGUCAGUUUUG
rnacentral:lncRNA from 1 species